GCAGCGGUAGCGAAGCUAGGUCUAACGCGGAGGACUCAAGAUCCUCUCCCGUAGGGGUUCGCCGGUUCAAAUCCGGCCCGCUGCACCA
rnacentral:tRNA from 1 species